GGAAUUCUUAGAAGUUCUGUUCUGAGUAAAAGUCCUCCAAAACUUAUGUUUGGUUUGAGACACAAUAUCAACAAGCAGCCCUGGCUGUCUUUAGAACUCUGUAGACCAUGGUGGCCUUGAACUGCAGAGAUCUUUUUGCUUCUGCUUCCUGACUUCUGAGAUUAAAGGUAAAUACUACCACACCUGCCUCUCUUUUUUUCUUCUUCAUUUUUUUUUUUUUUUAAAGAAUACUUUUUCCAUUGGUAGUCAUGGUACAUGCCGCUGAACUCAUCCCAGCAUGCAGGAAGCAGAGGCUUGGUGGAUGGGUCUCUUGAGUUGGAGGCUAGCCUGCCCUACAGAGAGAGAACAAGCAGGGCUAUACAGAGAAACCCUGCCUUGAAAAACCAAACAAAAGAAUACUUUUUCCCAUGCAGCUUACUAAUUUUUAUGUCCGUGAUUUUUCCAUUUUCCUGGGACAUCCUUACUGUUGUUUUUACUACCAUCUUCAUGCAGAUUCCAGCUUAUAUGCAGUUCCAGGAGUAAGAUUCAACUCCUUGGAAACUAUGUAAGGCCAGUUCACAUAUUGGAGUUUCUAGAUAAACAUUGAAAUAAUAGCAGGUCUGAUAGUGCCUAUCUGUGGUUCUACUACUUGGGAGCUGGAGGCAGGGGAACAUAGUGAGACCUUUUCCCCAUCCUUCAAAAACACUGGACUAAUAUAGAGGCUAGACAUGGUAGAAUAAUAUAACUAACCACAAGGUCAAUUUAAGCAAUGACCUCCAUUUAUAAUCUACAUGUAAAGUCUUAUAUCUGAAUCUCAUGGUUUCUUGUUUUGCUAUUGUGCUCAGAAGGUCCAUUCUAAUAGGUUUUUGAUGCUGUGCUACAAAGGAGGUUCUGCCACUUUCUACAGAAGCAUGAUGUCUUAGUUCAUUCUUAGAUGCUUCAUGGCCAGAUGAAACCCAGGAUUCUCAUGUAUGUGGAAAAUAGAGCGCUUUCUAUAUAUACUAGAAGGCUGUGUCUUUUUUUGUUAGCCUGUUUAGUUUUGUCUAAUAGUUGUUACUUUGACUGUGAUUGAUUUUAUUAUACUGGUAGAUGUACAUUUUUAUCUUAUUUUAUUUUAUUUUAUUUAUUGAGACGGGGUCUCAUCAGGCCUGGGACUUGCUCUAUAGACCAGACUGGCCUUCAUCUGCCUGCUUCUGCCUCCCAAGUGCUGGGAUUAAAUAAGUUAAAAAAAAAAAAAAAGACUACUAAAAAACUUUUAUCAGUGGUACAUGAAAAAAAGAUUGUGAUCUCAGAUAAUGGUAGUGCAUAUUUACAUAAUGAAUGAAAUGCACUGUACUGUAUUGAAUGUGUCACUUAACUUUAAAAGAGACUGGAAGUGUGCUGGUAGAGGUCAAAGGAUCUCAGCAUUUCCUAUGACGUGAUAGAGCACAGAGUGCUAUUGGAACUCUGGCACCAGGUGUGAACGGCUUGGUUCAGAGCAGUGAGGUUCUGGUGUGUUAGAGGGGCGUGGCUGUAUAUUUCUGUAUGACUCAGAUCAUUCAGUCACAGUUGUAUACGUGUUCUGGUUCCUUUGAGAUGAAGUUAAUGCAUGGGUAAAUGUGAAAUUUAUGUUGGGCUAAAAUUUUUGUUCUUUCCCCCCUAUUUUCCUCGCUCCUUCUUUCCACUCCUUUGUUUUUCACCAGUAGUGAGGGUGGAACCCAGUACAGUUGCGGCAAGGCUUCUGAAACACUCCAGCAUCGUUCAUUUUAUAGCGAAUAAGCCCGGGUUUCCUUUGUUUGUUUGUUGGGUUUUGUUGGUUCUGUUUUUGUUUGUUUGUUUGUUUUGCUUCCCUGUUCUCUGCGAGCUGUCCAGGUUGUCUUUGAGCUCACUCUGUAGUCCAGGCAGGCUUUGAACAUGUUACCUUUCUUGCCAAUAGUUUGUAAGCAGCUGGAUUUCAGGUCUGGGCCACCUGGCCUGACUAGAAUGAAUUUUAUAUAUAUAGGUUUUUGUUUUUGUUUUAAGUUUAGAGGAAAAGGAAUCUGCCUCGGAUUUGGUGAUUGCUUCUGUUUUAUCUAGGGUGCUUGAUUGAUUACUCUCUGUUUAUUCAGUAAGCUGUAUAUUUUUCACCAGAGGGUUCACUUGUGCAACCAAAUUAGGAUGUUUAGAAUACUAAUGGGUUUGGUAUUAUGGAAAAAAACAAACCAUAAAAUACUAGGUUUGCAAUUUAAACCUGCGACUUCAGUUGUGUCCCACUGAGAUGUUUCCAGGUUUUAACUUUGUUAGCUCAAGUCUCUAUCUCGGCACUCCUGUAGAAGCCAGUAGUGCUGUUUCUUUGUGAUCUGUAAACUGCUGUAGAUUGGGUUUGGGAAAACACUGUAGAAGUCUAGGACUAAGGCUAAAAUCUGAAAAGCUUUAGUUCUGUUGCUAUGUAAACUACUCCUUGUGUUCUACUAAAUAAAUGGCCAUUUUAUAUGCAUACAAAAUUUAUUUUUUGUUUUGUUUUGUUUUUUGAGACAGGGUUUCUGUUCUGAAACUCACUCUGCAGACUAGGCUGGCCUUGAGCUCAGAAAUCCACCUGCCUCUACCUCCCAAGUGCUGGGAUUAAAGGCAUGCGCCACCACUGCCCGGUAACCUAUAGUUGGUUUUUAUUGGUUUGUCAUUGUGGUUUCUCUAUUUAGUAAUGGUUUAUUUUGUUUAUCUACUCCAUAAGAUAUCUUAUUCUUAUCUAUUCUAAAUAAUUAUUUUUAGUUCUAAAACUAUUUUAUCAGAUUAUCUUUUUUUAAUACUUGAAUCAUUUGCCAUAUCAGUUUUAAAAUGAGACUGGUAUUACAAGCUUGGUCAGAUUUAUAUUUUCAUUGUCUGUCUGUGUCUUUCUGUCUCUCAUUCUCUUUCUCUUCUCUCUCUCUCUUUCUCUCUCUCUCUCUCUCUCUCUGUCUGUCUGUCUGUCUCUGUGUGUGUGUAUGUAUGUGUGUGUGUGUGUGUAUGUAUGUGUAUGUGUGUGGCCACAGCUCCUGGCUUUCUAUGUGGUUCUGGGAAUCAAAUUUGGCUUCUCAUACUUGCGUGGCUUCCAUUUUAUGAACUGAGCUUUUUCUUCAGUCCUUCAUUGCCUUUAAUUUGUGUAAUUUUAUUUGUAUAUACUAAGAGAAGAGUAUUCUUUUGUUUUGGUUGAGGGUCAUG
rnacentral:lncRNA from 1 species